rnacentral:rRNA from 1 species
UACGAAGGGGGCGAGCGUUGUUCGGAUUUACUGGGCGUAAAGGGCGCGUAGGCGGCCCUCUUUGUCGCGUGUGAAAGCCCCGGGCUCAACCUGGGGAAUUGCGCGCGAAACGGGGGGGCUUGAGUUCGGGAGAGGAGCGUGGAAUUCCCAGUGUAGAGGUGAAAUUCGUAGAUAUUGGGAAGAACACCGGUGGCGAAGGCGGCGCUCUGGACC